GACGAACGCUGGCGGCGUGCUUAACACAUGCAAGUCGAACGGAAAGGCCCUGCUUGCGGGGUACUCGAGAGUCGAACGGGUGAGUAUCACGUGGGUGAUCUGUCCUGUACUUUGGGAUAUGCCUUGGAAACUGGGUCUAUUACCGGAUAUGAGCCCUCCUUCUUGUGGUGGUUGGAUAGUUUUUUCGGUGUAGGAUGAGCUCGCGGCCUAUCUGUCUGGUGGUGGGGUAAGGGCCUACCAACGCGGUGACUGGUAGCCGGCCUGAGGGGGGGGACGGCCACCAUGGGGAUGGAGAUCGGGCCAGGAUCCCUCCGGGAGCAAGAAGUGGGAAUAAUUCACAAAGGGGGGAAGCCUGAUGCAAGGAAGCCGGGUGGCGGGUGAACGCCCUCGGGUUGUAAACUCCUUUCGCUAGGGGAGGAACUGUGAGUGACGGUACCGAGAUAAGAAGCACCGGCUAACUACGUG
rnacentral:rRNA from 1 species